rnacentral:rRNA from 1 species
UACGAAGGGGGCUAGCGUUGUUCGGAAUUACUGGGCGUAAAGCGCACGUAGGCGGACAUUUAAGUCAGGGGUGAAAUCCCAGAGCUCAACUCUGGAACUGCCUUUGAUACUGGGUGUCUUGAGUAUGGAAGAGGUGAGUGGAAUUCCGAGUGUAGAGGUGAAAUUCGUAGAUAUCGGGAGGAACACCAGUGGCGAAGGCGACUACCUGGCCUGUUCUUGACGCUGAGGCGCGAAAGCGUGGGGAGCAAACAGG